rnacentral:rRNA from 1 species
CCUACGGGAGGCUGCAGUGGGGAAUAUUGGACAAUGGGGGGAACCCUGAUCCAGCCAUGCCGCGUGUGUGAAGAAGGCCCUCGGGUUGUAAAGCACUUUCAGUGAGGAAGAACGCCUGGUGGUUAAUACCCAUCAGGAAAGACAUCACUCACAGAAGAAGCACCGGCUAACUCCGUGCCAGCAGCCGCGGUAAUACGGAGGGUGCGAGCGUUAAUCGGAAUUACUGGGCAUAAAGCGCGCGUAGGUGGCUUGAUAAGCCGGUUGUGAAAGCCCCGGGCUCAACCUGGGAACGGCAUCCGGAACUGUCAAGCUAGAGUGCAGGAGAGGAAGGUAGAAUUCCCGGUGUAGCGGUGAAAUGCGUAGAGAUCGGGAGGAAUACCAGUGGCGAAGGCGGCCUUCUGGACUGACACUGACACUGAGGUGCGAAAGCGUGGGUAGCAAACAGGAUUAGAUACCCCGGUAGUC